CCUACGGGAGGCAGCAGUGGGGAAUAUUGCACAAUGGGGGAAACCCUGAUGCAGCGACGCCGCGUGAGCGAUGAAGUAUUUCGGUAUGUAAAGCUCUAUCAGCAGGGAAGAAAAUGACGGUACGUGACUAAGAAGCACCGGCUAACUACGUGCCAGCAGCCGCGGUAAUACGUAGGGGGCAAGCGUUAUCCGGAUUUACUGGGUGUAAAGGGAGCGUAGACGGUAUGUCAAGUCAAGGGUGAAAUCCCCGCGCUCAACGUGGGAACUGCCUUUGAAACUGGCAAACUAGAGUGUGUGAGAGGAUAGUGGAAUGCGAGGUGUAGGAGUGAAAUCCGUAGAUAUCUGGAGGAACAUCAGUGGCGAAGGCGGCAAUCUGGCACAUAACUGACGCUGAGGAACGAAAGCGUGGGUAGCGAACAGGAUUAGAUACCCGGGUAGUC
rnacentral:rRNA from 1 species